CUUGGUGAUUAUUGCGAUGUGGAACCACUCGAUCCCAUUCCGAACUCGCCAGUUAAACACAUUAGCGCCGAUUGUACUUGGUUUUUUAGCCCGGGAGAUUAGGUCGUCGCCAAGU
rnacentral:rRNA from 1 species